rnacentral:rRNA from 1 species
AGCGAACGCUGGCGGCGUGCCUAACACAUACAAGUCGAACGUGAACGGAGCAAUCCUAGUAAAGUGGCGUACGGGUGAGUAACACGUAGGUAAUCUACCUUACAGUCUGGAAUAACCUGACGAAAGUCGGGCUAAUACUGGAUAGAGCGACGGAAGCCGUAACGGUUUUUUCGGGAAAGGGAGCUCGAUAAGAGCCUUCGCUGUAAGAUGAGCCUGCGUCUGACUAGUUAGUUGGUGGGGUAAUGGCCUACCAAGACGAUGAUCAGUAGCUGGUCUGAGAGGAUGAUCAGCCACACUGGAACUGAAACACGGUCCAGACUCCUACGGGAGGCAGCAGUGGGGAAUCUUGCGCAAUGGACGAAAGUCUGACGCAGCCACGCCGCGUGAGUGAAGAAGGCCUUCGGGUUGUAAAGCUCUGUCACCUGGGACGAAAACACUUACGGUUAAUAGCCGUAGGAAUUGACGGUACCAGGGGAGGAAGCACUGGCUAACUUCGUGCCAGCCGCCGCGGUAA